GAUGAACGCUGGCGGCGUGCCUAAUACAUGCAAGUCGAGCGAACGGACGAGAAGCUUGCUUCUCUGAUGUUAGCGGCGGACGGGUGAGUAACACGUGGAUAACCUACCUAUAAGACUGGGAUAACUUCGGGAAACCGGAGCUAAUACCGGAUAAUAUUUUGAACCGCAUGGUUCAAAAGUGAAAGACGGUCUUGCUGUCACUUAUAGAUGGAUCCGCGCUGCAUUAGCUAGUUGGUAAGGUAACGGCUUACCAAGGCAACGAUGCAUAGCCGACCUGAGAGGGUGAUCGGCCACACUGGAACUGAGACACGGUCCAGACUCCUACGGGAGGCAGCAGUAGGGAAUCUUCCGCAAUGGGCGAAAGCCUGACGGAGCAACGCCGCGUGAGUGAUGAAGGUCUUCGGAUCGUAAAACUCUGUUAUUAGGGAAGAACAUAUGUGUAAGUAACUGUGCACAUCUUGACGGUACCUAAUCAGAAAGCCACGGCUAACUACGUGCCAGCAGCCGCGGUAAUACGUAGGUGGCAAGCGUUAUCCGGAAUUAUUGGGCGUAAAGCGCGCGUAGGCGGUUUUUUAAGUCUGAUGUGAAAGCCCACGGCUCAACCGUGGAGGGUCAUUGGAAACUGGAAAACUUGAGUGCAGAAGAGGAAAGUGGAAUUCCAUGUGUAGCGGUGAAAUGCGCAGAGAUAUGGAGGAACACCAGUGGCGAAGGCGACUUUCUGGUCUGUAACUGACGCUGAUGUGCGAAAGCGUGGGGAUCAAACAGGAUUAGAUACCCUGGUAGUCCACGCCGUAAACGAUGAGUGCUAAGUGUUAGGGGGUUUCCGCCCCUUAGUGCUGCAGCUAACGCAUUAAGCACUCCGCCUGGGGAGUACGACCGCAAGGUUGAAACUCAAAGGAAUUGACGGGGACCCGCACAAGCGGUGGAGCAUGUGGUUUAAUUCGAAGCAACGCGAAGAACCUUACCAAAUCUUGACAUCCUUUGACAACUCUAGAGAUAGAGCCUUCCCCUUCGGGGGACAAAGUGACAGGUGGUGCAUGGUUGUCGUCAGCUCGUGUCGUGAGAUGUUGGGUUAAGUCCCGCAACGAGCGCAACCCUUAAGCUUAGUUGCCAUCAUUAAGUUGGGCACUCUAAGUUGACUGCCGGUGACAAACCGGAGGAAGGUGGGGAUGACGUCAAAUCAUCAUGCCCCUUACGAUUUGGGCUACACACGUGCUACAAUGGACAAUACAAAGGGCAGCGAAACCGCGAGGUCAAGCAAAUCCCAUAAAGUUGUUCUCAGUUCGGAUUGUAGUCUGCAACUCGACUACAUGAAGCUGGAAUCGCUAGUAAUCGUAGAUCAGCAUGCUACGGUGAAUACGUUCCCGGGUCU
rnacentral:rRNA from 1 species